AUGAGGAUGCAUUGGGCGUGGAGGAACCUUCCUCUGAUGGAUGAAGACAGCCGAGAUGGAUUUCACCCUGGGUGGAGAAGCCUGAUGAGACUAAGAUACCCUGUGAUUUCCAGCAAGCAAACCAGCUGCAAUUGUGGUUUCCAUGAAGCACAGCUGGAAAACUGCUGCCCCCACGGAGGAAGAGGAAGAUGGGAAGAUGGUGGUUACUGCACACCAGGCACCAGCCUCGGGGCUAUGAGCUGUACAAACACUACCCACUUGAUCCUCAUGACCAUCUUCUGAGGAGGCUGUCAAUGAUCUCACUUUAGACAUGAGGAAAUUCAUGCAGACAGAGGCUGACUAAAUUGCCAUGGUCACACAGCUAGUAGGAACUGGAGCUGUAACUUGAACCCGGGUCUCUUGUUUCUGUGGCUCUUGGUAGCGCAUGCCGGGCUUGAAGUGAGAUCCGGAGUAUGUUGGAAGCAACACUCUCCCUAUCCUAAAAGUCCUUAUGAUACCUGUGCAGAGUUGGCAGCCAGGAGCAGCGGCUUCCAGAAGCAUGGCUGACCCUUGUUGGGAUCUUGCUCCUCUGAGCCUUGGAAUGUCUAAGAGGAAAGAGCAGCCAAAUGUAGACUUGCAGGAGCUUUGAGAUACAGCUCAGGCAUCAUCUCUGGGAAGUCUUUCCUGGAACCACAGCCUGGGCCCUGUACCUGAUUCCCAGCCCCUGUGGCUCUUUCUGCAUUUGCUGCCUCCUUUCACAAUUCUGUCUCCUUAUGUCUUCCACUCUACACCCAAGCCCCUUGAGGGAAGGGCCAUGACUCAGUCAUCCUGUAUCCUAGCCCCCAGCCUGGGUCUGCAUCCGGAAGGAGCUCACUAAGUGAUUAUUGAGCCAAACUGAACUGUAGCAGGAGUGAGCAAAGCUAAAUCACGGGUACAGAAUGGGCGCACAGAGCUGCCAGAAUCCAGAGACAGCUGUAACUGUCCCAGCACAGGGGGCUUCAGGCCACGGUGAGAGCCACUGAAGGCAAGAGCCAGGUGGUGGCUCAGUUCACAUUGAGUCCUGCUGAAGAAAUAGGCACACCGUGUGUGUUAAAAUCAGCACCCCACGCACCUGUAGGAAGAGACUGAGGCACCCUGGAGGGCCCUCCCAAUAAUUAAAAGGCCCCCUGGGGCCUGUGGGAGCCCUAGCUGAUGAAAUCAUGCAGGCCUCAGCCUUUAAAGUGUUUCCAGUAAAAUGCUACCAGGAUUUUCCUCCCUUGAAUCUGGAUGAAAGGGCUGUCUGUGCUACAAAACGCACACCUGGCAUCGAUAUGCAGUCUCUUGCUGCCUGUUAACCAACCCACUAGCCAACAAGUGCUGCCCACUGCCAGGUGCAAGCACUUAUAAAAACUAGUGUCUCCCUCCCAAGGGCUUAUGACCUGGUUAAGUGGAAAGGACAAACAGACUGAAAGAAAAGGCAAUUGCGGGAUAGUAUUCAGUUAAUUCUUCUCUCUCUCUUGCUCCCUCUCUCUCUUGUUCCCUCUCUCUCUCUUCCUCCCUCCUUUCUAUGACUUGUCCUCUCCACACAACUCCUUUUCCAUUUUCCCUCCCCUGCCUCCCCACCUUCUUUCUUGACUUCCCAUCUUGCUCCCUUUCUUCCUGCCUGCCCAUCUGCUUUCCUUUCUCAUCUCUGGUGCAAAUUCUGCAUACAGUCGCUCUCCUCAUUUCAUGACAUGCUGUCUUCAUCAGUUUCUGAGUUCUUUUGUUAUUUGAUAAUAUAUUUUACAUGCCGUCCUCAUAUAAUCCCUUCCCCUAGAAAAGCCCCAUUCAAAAGCACUUACUAUACAUCCUUAGACAGGCAAUGAUCUCUGAAAUACAUAUAGGCUUGUUCUAUAUGUAAGUGUUUUUGUAAGUACACUUUUCUUUCAUUAAAUAUACAGAUCUUAAUUGUACAGUUUGAUGUGUUUUGACCAAGGUAUAUACUAGUAUAACCACCACUCCAACCAAGGUACAGAACACUUUCAUCUCUCCGGAAAGUCC
rnacentral:lncRNA from 1 species